GGAAAAUUGCCAGAGUGGUCGAUUGGGCUUGACUCGAAAUCAAGUGAACGGCUUGCUGUUCCAUAGGUUCGAAUCCUAUAUUUUCCG
rnacentral:tRNA from 1 species